rnacentral:rRNA from 1 species
GACAGAGGAUGCAAGCGUUAUCCGGAAUGAUUGGGCGUAAAGCGUCUGUAGGUGGCUUUUUAAGUCUGCCGUCAAAUCCCAGGGCUCAACCCUGGACAGGCGGUGGAAACUACCAAGCUAGAGUACGGUAGGGGCAGAGGGAAUUUCCGGUGGAGCGGUGAAAUGCGUAGAGAUCGGAAAGAACACCAACGGCGAAAGCACUCUGCUGGGCCGACACUGACACUGAGGAGCAAAAGCCAGGGGAGCAAACGGG